AGCAGCCGCGGUAAUUCCAGCUCCAAUAGCGUAUAUUAAAGUUGUUGCAGUUAAAAAGCUCGUAGUUGAAUUUCGGGAUCAUCAGGUUGGUCGUGCCACUGGUAUGUACUUGCCUUGAUGGUCCCUCCUCUUGAAGAACCGUAAUGCCAUUAAUUUGGUGUUGCGGGGAAUCAGGACUGUUACUUUGAAAAAUUGAGUGUUUAAAGCAGGCAAACGCUUGAAUACAUUAGCAUGAAUAAUGAAAUAGGACGUUUGAUCUUAUUUUGUUGGUUUCUAGGAUCGACGUAAUGAUUAAUAGGGAUAGUUGGGGCAUUAGUAUUCAAUUGUCAG
rnacentral:rRNA from 1 species